AAACCAAAUAAAGGACCUCUAAGAUUAAUAGUUGAAAAUGUCUAUACAAAUUUCAAGUAAUGCAUCGCCGCACAGAAAUUUCGUAUAUUUUGAGGUACUGCAUGAAAAAAUUGUCGACAUUUGCUUAAGAAAACAAAUGUUUUAAAACUUUUCGAAACAUUUUUCAAAAAAAGUAGCAUCUGUCAAAAAUCCUUGUCUCUUAAGAUAUAACAUGAAAAAUUGGACCAUUUUUACUAACCAUGAAAAGUGUUUUCUAAGAAUAAAAACACUUCAUAGUGACUUAGAGCUUCUUCAUAGAUACACUAUGAAACUUGAAAAUAGUAUUAGACCUUUUGGAUUUCCUGUCGUGAACAUAUCCUGGAUGCGGUGUUAAAAAUGUCCCAAUAAUACGUUGUUAAUAAUAAUUUUGGUACCCGAUGCAGAGAAAUGAUGCUAACAAUAAGACAUUAUUUUAUCGGCCAUACGGAAAUGUUGUGACAUCACGCGUAUCCCAAGAGAAAACGGACCGACAAAGGAUUCCGAUGACGUUAACACAAAAUAAUAAUAUUAUCGCGUAACGGCAUUUUCGGGCAGCUAUCCAUGAAUUUUAUGUCAGGCUGACUUGACACAAAGCGGAUGGACAUAGAUGGCCCGUGAUUUCGUAUUCCGAUGGAAACAAUAUACUUACUAUAUUGCAUAUAUCAUUGGAGGAACGAGAUCGAUUUGAAUUCCUUGCAAGGACAAUACGAGUAGAGAUGCGUAACUACCGAUAAAAAAUGUUUAAUAAAUUCUCCCGUUAAAAUAUACGUAAAUUAACAUACAUUUUGAGAGUUGGGUGAAGUUUUUAUUAGAAAUAA